rnacentral:sRNA from 1 species
UAGCUUCGACGGCAUCAAUUGGGGAUUUGAUGGUCGCAAAUACCCGUUUACUGACUUUGCUAACGCGUCGCCAGUAAACUUAAUUUGCGACCAUCAAAUCCCCAAUUGAUGCCAUCGGAGCUU